rnacentral:rRNA from 1 species
GAUGAACGCUGGCGGCGUGCCUAAUACAUGCAAGUCGAGCGAACGGACGAGAAGCUUGCUUCUCUGAUGUUAGCGGCGGACGGGUGAGUAACACGUGGAUAACCUACCUAUAAGACUGGGAUAACUUCGGGAAACCGGAGCUAAUACCGGAUAAUAUUUUGAACCGCAUGGUUCAAAAGUGAAAGACGGUCUUGCUGUCACUUAUAGAUGGAUCCGCGCUGCAUUAGCUAGUUGGUAAGGUAACGGCUUACCAAGGCAACGAUGCAUAGCCGACCUGAGAGGGUGAUCGGCCACACUGGAACUGAGACACGGUCCAGACUCCUACGGGAGGCAGCAGUAGGGAAUCUUCCGCAAUGGGCGAAAGCCUGACGGAGCAACGCCGCGUGAGUGAUGAAGGUCUUCGGAUCGUAAAACUCUGUUAUUAGGGAAGAACAUAUGUGUAAGUAACUGUGCACAUCUUGACGGUACCUAAUCAGAAAGCCACGGCUAACUACGUGCCAGCAGCCGCGGUAAUACGUAGGUGGCAAGCGUUAUCCGGAAUUAUUGGGCGUAAAGCGCGCGUAGGCGGUUUUUUAAGUCUGAUGUGAAAGCCCACGGCUCAACCGUGGAGGGUCAUUGGAAACUGGAAAACUUGAGUGCAGAAGAGGAAUGUGGAAUUCCAUGUGUAGCGGUGAAAUGCGCAGAGAUAUGGAGGAACACCAGUGGCGAAGGCGACUUUCUGGUCUGUAACUGACGCUGAUGUGCGAAAGCGUGGGGAUCAAACAGGAUUAGAUACCCUGGUAGUCCACGCCGUAAACGAUGAGUGCUAAGUGUUAGGGGGUUUCCGCCCCUUAGUGCUGCAGCUAACGCAUUAAGCACUCCGCCUGGGGAGUACGACCGCAAGGUUGAAACUCAAAGGAAUUGACGGGGACCCGCACAAGCGGUGGAGCAUGUGGUUUAAUUCGAAGCAACGCGAAGAACCUUACCAAAUCUUGACAUCCUUUGACAACUCUAGAGAUAGAGCCUUCCCCUUCGGGGGACAAAGUGACAGGUGGUGCAUGGUUGUCGUCAGCUCGUGCCGUGAGAUGUUGGGUUAAGUCCCGCAACGAGCGCAACCCUUAAGCUUAGUUGCCAUCAUUAAGUUGGGCACUCUAAGUUGACUGCCGGUGACAAACCGGAGGAAGGUGGGGAUGACGUCAAAUCAUCAUGCCCCUUAUGAUUUGGGCUACACACGUGCUACAAUGGACAAUACAAAGGGCAGCGAAACCGCGAGGUCAAGCAAAUCCCAUAAAGUUGUUCUCAGUUCGGAUUGUAGUCUGCAACUCGACUACAUGAAGCUGGAAUCGCUAGUAAUCGUAGAUCAGCAUGCUACGGUGAAUACGUUCCCGGGUCU